GUCCAGUGUAGAAAUGGUGAACACAGAUCUUUUAAAGCAUAUCAAUACUCCAAUACAAGAUCGAUAUAUCGAAGAGCUUUUAGCCGCUAUUCAUACCACGUCUAUCCACAACUAUAUCACCAGAACCAGUCUCGCUAGAGAUUUCAAUUCGGUGCUCGGCCACCACAAUAGAAAUGUACAACGAUAAGGUUAGGAAAUUAUAUUUAUAUUUUAGUUCAUAGUCUGGUACUAAGUAAGCUUUAAAACCUGCUUAAAGUGUGCUUAUUGACGGCGGUAAUAAGAUAUAAAAGCGGUUUUGACUGCUUAAAUCAACUGUGUGCAACCAAUAAGGCAAUAACCAUAGUUAAAGCUAUAAAGUAUAAACCGCUUUUGUGUUCGUUUAUAUUUAUAUUGGGCAAUAUUUAAUUGAUGUAUUAGUAGCGACAGAAUCUGGAAAUUUUGAGAUUGCAAGGGCGGGUGUUAUGCUGUGUUGUAAUACGAUAUCUAGAAGCGGAUUUUGUGAUUGUUCGUGUGAAAUCUUGUUGAGAUUUGCCCCCGAGAUAAUCCUUAACACAAUAGUUUCUUUUAGCUUUUAUUCAACGCUACGAACCAUCCUAAUUUCGCAAAAUCACUUACUAAAAAACCUCCCACUAUACAAUAGCAACAAGCAGUGUAUUCUGGAACUUUCCGAUUCAUUACAGUUCUGACUUGCGCGUCCCACGUGUGAACAAAACAUUAUUUUAUACUAAAUUAUUGAUUAUUAACAGUUUCCGACAAUUCGUUUGUUAUAUAAUAUGACGUUUUGUUGACAGGAGGGUCAAAAAUUUAUUUAUUAAAAGAACAUGCCGAUGUGUAAAACAAAAUUCCAGACAAUUGUGUGACAUUACAAUAUCGUGACAAUACAAUCGCGUCUGCUGUUAGGCGAACAACGAAUAACUUAUAAUGCUACAACCCCAGCAGACAGAAAGUAAAAGCCCCGCUCCCCCCCCCCCGGAUGGCAGCAACUCAGAAAAAAUUUGACUAACGUGCGAAAAUUCCUAGAUCCGCCCCUGUUUAAACGUAUUCGGUAUUCCAAAUCCCAAUCUAUCUGACCGUAUUUUUAUAGUAAUAGCUUCAAAAUAUUCAGAACAUUGUUCUUUCAGUCGCACAUAGUACAAGUAUUACUGUACAUUCAAAGCCAAUGGUAGUAUUUUAUUCGGCUUUAUAUUUGUA